rnacentral:lncRNA from 1 species
AGAUCCAAAGGCAUGGGUUGAUGGCGCCAAUAAGAGAAGCUUUGUGACUUCUCAUCUGACCACCGUAAGUUAAGAUCGAAGAGUCUUUCUGAAAUAAGGCGUCUCUUCAACCCAACUUUGAUGUACACAUGGUAUUUCUUAAUUUAUGGGGCGUGAGAAAUAGACAAGAGGUGUGAGAUAAAUUGUCAGAGGGUGUGAGAUGUUUUGGAUUGCAUCUUUACGUGCAAUAUAAAUAGG